rnacentral:lncRNA from 1 species
AUGGAUUGAAUCACACCUUGAGUUAGACUAGCGGUCAGUUUUUUCUUUGAUGAUGGACUUGUACUGGUUCUGACGGCGAGAGUUCGCUUGUUGUUCUGAAGUGAGCUUGUUUUCGAGAAUCGUUCCCGGAGUGAUGUUGGAUUGUCUUCUUUCCGGAUCAGAUUUUGUAAGUACUCGUCCUUUUUUCGACUCAGAUUUUUCAAAGAACCAGCUGAACAAUCGUCGUCAGUGCCAGUAGUGGGUGCAGACAAAGAGAGCGGAGUUUUGGCUUUUUUCUUUUCCCUCUUCAGAGGCCAACGGAGAAGGGUCUUCAGACGACUUGUGGCGCUACUCAUGGAAGAGCUAGGUUUCUUUUUGGUCUCUCCUGUUUCUUCCGGUAGGAUAUUCAUAUCAUUUUUACCGAUACUUGAGCAUGAACUAGGUCUUCCGCUUCCGACAGCACUGCCGGUAGUACCGGUGCCGCCACUUCCUAUGUCUUUGCAAAUACCUUCGGAAGAGGUUGUAAUGCCUGUGUAUAAGAA